ensembl:lncRNA
GAGUGUUCUCUGCGUUAAAUCUCCUGUAAAGUAAAAAUAAAGUAGUCUGUAUGCCUGUGUAACAGGUGGAGGAUGAUUUCUUAUUUUCUUAAAUUAUUGUGGUGUGGUUAUGGAGUGAUAUUUAGAACCAGAAAUCAGUUGUUAGAAUGGAGUGGGUCUGAUGCACGUAGACUCAAUCACAUCAAUUCAUCGUCAGAGAUAAUACGUCUUUUAAAAGAAUGUCACUCUGCAGGUUUCUAAACGGUGUUAUAACAUACAGUAUGAAUGACAUAUUACAGGGGUGGCUGCACCUUUGGAAAACAUCAUCAAUGUCUGAUGUCACCUUACAUUCUCUGCAUGGAUAUAAAAGCUGCUUCAUGCUCAGUGGAGAACAUUGACCAGCAAACAGAGAACCCUGAACAGGUGAACAGGAGAGCAUAACUACUCCACGGCAGGAAAGAGAAGUCAAGCUCAAACCAUCUCUAUCUCUUUUUACAACAGGCAACAACUUUCCAUUGACGAUGAAGAUCUGUAUUGUCCUACUUCUGUGUGUUGCGUUAGGAAAUGCAGAAACAACAACAGUUGCAAAUGCAGAGACACGAACUACGGCUGCCCCAGCGACAACUACAGCAGCUCUAACAACUACAGCUGUACCCGCAACAACCACAGUACCAGCUGCAACAACUACAGAUGCCCCUGCAACAACUACAGUAGCAACCACAACAACUACAGUCGCAGCUGCAACAACAACAGUACCAGCCGCAACAACUACAGCCAACCCAACAACAACUACAGUACCAGCUCCAGCAACUACAGUAGCAGCGGCAACAACUACAGUACCAGCUGCAACAACUACAGCUGCACCCGCAACAACUACAGUCACAGCCGUUACAACUACAGUAGCAGCGGAAACAACCAAAGCCAACCCAACAACAGCAGCAGCAACCACCACAAAUACCCCAGCCACAACUACUGCAGCUCUAACAACUACAGCUGCACCUGCAACAACAACAGUACCAGCUGCAACAACUACAGUACCAGCUGCAACAACCACGGUAGCAGCCGCAACAACUACAGCCAACCCAACAACAACUACAGUACCAGCUGCAACAACUACAGUAGCAGCGGCAACAACUACAGUAGCAGCUGCAACAACUACAGCUGCACCCGCAACAACUACAGUAGCAACCACUACAACUACAGACGCAGCCGGAACAACUACAGUAGCAGCGAAAACAACCAAAGCCAACAACAACAGCAGCAGCA